UGAGGGAUGGCUCAGUUGGUAGAGCAUGGGACUAUUAAGCUCAGGGUUGUGGGUUUGAGCCCCACAUAGAGCAAAA